rnacentral:rRNA from 1 species
AGAGGGGUGCAAGCGUUAAUCGGAAUUACUGGGCGUAAAGGGUGCGUAGGUUGUUGUUAAGUCAGAUGUGAAAUGUUUGGGGCUUAACCUAGGAUGGUCAUUUGAAACUAAUAGACUAGAGUACGGUAGAGGGAAGAGGAAUUUCCGGUGUAGCGGUGAAAUGCGUAGAUAUCGGAAGGAGCACCAGUGGCGAAGGCGUCUUCCUGGACUGAUACUGACACUGAGGCACGAAAGCGUGGGUAGCGAACAGGAUUAGAUACCCUGGUAGUCCACGCCGUAAACGAUGAGAACUAGCUGCUGGGAGCGACAGCUUUUGGUGGCGCAGCUAACGUAUUAAGUUCUCCGCCUGGGGAGUACGGCCGCAAGGCUA